rnacentral:rRNA from 1 species
AACGAACGCUGGCGGCGUGCCUAACACAUGCAAGUCGUGCGAGAAAGUUCCUUCGGGAGCGAGUAAAGCGGCGCACGGGUGAGUAACACGUAGGUAACCUGCCCCCCAGUCUGGAACAACUAGAGGAAACUCUAGCUAAUGCCGGAUGAGACCACGAUCCCUUCGGGGGUUGCGGCCAAAGAUGGCCUCUACUUGUAAGCUAUCGCUGAGGGAUGGGCCUGCGGCCAUUAGCUUGUUGGUGAGGUAACGGCUCACCAAGGCUGUGAUGGCUAGCUGGUCUGAGAGGAUGACCAGCCACACUGGGACUGAGACACGGCCCAGACUCCUACGGGAGGCAGCAGUGGGGAAUAUUGCGCAAUGGGCGAAAGCCUGACGCAGCGACGCCGCGUGGGUGAUGAAGGCCU